CAGCAUUUGAAACCUCUCCUCUUAUAACUGCUUCUGUCUGACACAGGGGGGAGGCAGAGUGAGUUAUACAGUACCGAAGCGAUCUGUGACCAGGAACUACCCUCACGCUUGUUGUCGGAACACAUUCACGCACUUAGGUGACUUUCUUGCUUCCUUGUCGGCAUGCGUCGUUGCCUCCUCCCAUCCUCUGGUCAUUUCCUCCAGCUUCUCGUGUCUAUGUGCCUGAGUGUGGGAUUCUAAAGCUAAAUCUUGAUGAUUGAGGACUUAUUUUGAACAUGCUGGGACAGCCCAGCACCCAGCAAAACAGGAACCGAUGAGAUACCCAGAGACCAGCCUCCACAAAUCCCACUUCGAAGCAAGACACCCCAAAUACAGGAAAACAGCACGCUGCCCCCCCAGGCUGACCUGCAGCCAGUUGUUCCAUCCAGGAGGGUCCCACAACCUCCCAGUCCAGUCAUUUUCAGUGCUCCUGACCAUCAUCCUCUACCAGGUUUGGACUCUGACGACAAUAUUUCUGAUGAGUACGAGAGACCAGACUUCCUCUGCAGUGUUCCUCAAGAGAACAUGGCAGGCGAGGCAAGAUGAUUUCCCGCUUUUUAUCCAAUGAUCUUCCUGCUUCUCUCCUCUCACUGUGCAGCUUGAUGGUAUUUGUUCUUUCUUUGUUGGAAUAGAACUCGCGCCUACAAGUGUCCAGUGACUUUUGCAGUGACGAUGAAAUGCUGGACUAUGAAGAAUAGUACGUAUUGAAAAAAAAAAUUCUGUUGCAUACAGCACUUCCAAAAAUGUAGGUUUAUGUUUCUGUUUACUUUAUAAAUUAGUAGAUG
rnacentral:lncRNA from 1 species